rnacentral:lncRNA from 1 species
GAAGAAGCUGCUCCUUCGAAGCGGAGGGAGGGGAAUCUAUUGAUUCCUAUAACCCUGCUUAUAUAGCGUUUUUAAGACAACAUUUAGGGUUUUUCCCGGGUUUGGUACCAAAUCUGGAUAAACUCCUUUCGGUUCUUAAACCGGAGGAAAUUCUCUUUCUGGCUUUCCGCUUCCCGCGGGAUGCGAACAUGUUUAAAUUGCCCCUAAAGAAGAUCAAAGAUAUGAUUAAAGAAGUAAUGGCUAAAGAGGAGGAAAACAGAUACAAGCCUCCGGUGGAAGGUUGUGAAGACCUAAGUAUGACGGAGGAGGAAAACAGAUACAAGCCUCCAGUGGAAGGUUGUGAAGACCUAAGUAUGAUGGAGGAGGAAAACAGAUACAAGCCUCCGGUGGAAGGUUGUGAAGACCGUCGUAUGACGGAGUAGGAAAGGAAAAAAUUACUGGAAACAUUUUCUUUCCUAUGGGAUAAAAAACAAUGAAUUGGAACUAUUGAGUGGUGUAGGUAUCCAUCUUAGCAAAUAGAGAUACCGAGGCCCACCAACCUACUACUUGUUGGUUUG